GACGAACGCUGGCGGCGUGCUUAACACAUGCAAGUCGAACGCUGAAGCUCAGCUUUUGUUGGGUGGAUGAGUGGCGAACGGGUGAGUAACACGUGAGUAACCUGCCUCCUUCUUUGGGAUAACGCCCGGAAACGGGUGCUAAUACUGGAUAUUCACUGGUCUUCGCAUGGGGGUUGGUGGAAAGGGUUUUUCUGGUGGGGGAUGGGCUCGCGGCCUAUCAGCUUGUUGGUGGGGUGAUGGCCUACCAAGGCUUUGACGGGUAGCCGGCCUGAGAGGGUAACCGGUCACAUUGGGACUGAGAUACGGCCCAGACUCCUACGGGAGGCAGCAGUGGGGAAUAUUGCACAAUGGGCGCAAGCCUGAUGCAGCGACGCCGCGUGAGGGAUGGAGGCCUUCGGGUUGUGAACCUCUUUCGCUCAUGGUCAAGCCGCAACAAUGGUUGUGGUGAGGGUAGUGGGUAAAGAAGCGCCGGCUAACUACGUG
rnacentral:rRNA from 1 species